rnacentral:rRNA from 1 species
UACGAAGGGGGCGAGCGUUGUUCGGAAUUACUGGGCGUAAAGGGCGCGUAGGCGGCGCCGGAAGUCAGAUGUGAAAGCCCCGGGCUCAACCUGGGAACUGCAUUUGAUACUGCGUUGCUAGAGUACUGGAGAGGAGACUGGAAUUUACGGUGUAGCAGUGAAAUGCGUAGAGAUCGUAAGGAAGACCAGUGGCGAAGGCGAGUCUCUGGACAGUUACUGACGCUGAGGCACGAAGGCCAGGGGAGCAAACGGG